GGGCACUUUCUUCCUGCGGCCGUGGAGAGAAGCCAGGCUGCCGUCCUGGCCAGUGCGGCUUCCUCUACUUUUUUUUUUUCCCCCUUCUUUUCAUCCCACGCAUCACAUGGGUUGGGCUCCCUACGUUGGGGACCUGGCUUACUCGACGCUCAUCAUCAUAGGUCUGACACUUAGUCGAUGUAGCUAUCCCCACCUCAGGGCAACAAGACUCGGGCUGGCAGACAGACUGGGGAAGCCAACCUGCUUCCUGCUGUGCAUGGCAGGAUCCUGGCAAACGGCAUAUGGCAAAUGCUCACACAAAAUGUGCUGGCUUGAUCAGACCAAUAUGCUCCUGUCAAGAGCAGCAGAACUCGUAGACUCAGGGUGCAUUCUAUCCAGGUACUUGCUAAAGGCAGUAGAAAAGUCCUCACCCGGUCCUGAGACUAUUUAGAAGGUUCCUAAACUGAGCUUGGAAGGAAGAGGAAAGAGCUGCAGAGGCGGAGACUCUGACCCCAAAGCGAUCGAGGGCCCUCCCCUGGCUUCCGUGUCCCUGUGGCAGGCGGUGGUGGUCGAAAUCUCUGCCCCUCAGAGUCCUGGGGAGGAUGGAUGGAACAGGAGGAGCAUCAUGAGAAGGCUUCCUGUAAACUACGGAGGGUGAGGGGACGGAGCGUGAGGGAACGUCGUGAGAUGGCACAGCUUGCACACAGAAGAUUCUGAGUGGUGCCAAGGUGAAUAAAGAUGCCUAAGUGCUCGUGGAAGCCAGCAGAGGGUGUAGGGUCUCCUGGAGCCACAUCUCUGGAGUUACAUGAAGUUGUGGACCUCUCAACAUGGGUUCUGGGAACUGAACCCAGGUCCUCUGGAAGGACAUCGAGUGCUCUUAACCACUGAGCCAUCUCUGCAGCCUAACCCCAUCCCUUGGAGGCUGAAGCAAAGCAAGUUCAAUGACCGUGCGACCUGGCUCUUGUUUGGGCCUAAGGAAAAGCCGACUGUAAGCCGGGAAGCAUCUCUGGCAAGAACAAGGAAGGAUUAAGCACGUCUGUGGUUGUGCGCAGGGAUCACAAGGUGCUCCUGCAGUGGGAAGAGCCACCACUAGGGGCGCUCCAAGUCUUGUAUUUUCUACCUUGAAAACUCGUUUCCCUGUGGCUGCCCUCCAAAUCCAACGGAGAUGAAUGGCUUUUAGUUUACCUAGCUGAUUUAAUAAACUUUAAAAAUAAAUGUA
rnacentral:lncRNA from 1 species